rnacentral:rRNA from 1 species
UACGUAGGGUGCAAGCGUUGUCCGGAAUUAUUGGGCGUAAAGAGCUCGUAGGCGGUUUGUCGCGUUCUGCUGUGAAAACCCGAGGCUCAACCUCGGGCCUGCAGUGGGUACGGGCAGACUAGAGUGCGGUAGGGGAGAUUGGAAUUCCUGGUGUAGCGGUGGAAUGCGCAGAUAUCAGGAGGAACACCGAUGGCGAAGGCAGAUCUCUGGGCCGUAACUGACGCUGAGGAGCGAAAGCGUGGGGAGCGAACAGG